CCUACGGGUGGCAGCAGUGGGGAAUAUUGCGCAAUGGGCGAAAGCCUGACGCAGCGACGCCGCGUGAGGGAUGAAGGUCUUCGGAUCGUAAACCUCUGUCAGCAGGGAAGAACGGUCACUGUGCUAAUCAGCAGUGAAUUGACGGUACCUGCAAAGGAAGCACCGGCUAACUCCGUGCCAGCAGCCGCGGUAAUACGGAGGGUGCGAGAGGUAAUCGGAAUUACUGGGCAUAAAGCGCUCGUAGGCGGUAUGUCAAGUCAAGGGUGAAAUCCCCGCGCUCAACGUGGGAACUGCCGUUGAAACUGGCAGACUGGAGUGUGUGAGAGGAUAGUGGAAUUCCAGGUGUAGGAGUGAAAUCCGUAGAUAUCUGGAGGAACAUCAGUGGCGAAGGCGACUAUCUGGCACAUAACUGACGCUGAGGAGCGAAAGCGUGGGUAGCAAACAGGAUUAGAUACCCCAGUAGUC
rnacentral:rRNA from 1 species